GACAAGAAAACAUAUUUUUUUCUAGGUUUAAUUCUUAUGAAGAGAACAAUUCCAACGAUGAGUAAUGAAAAUUUUGUUGUGUAAACUGUACUGAUAUGGCCCUUAAUUGAUCAUAAAAAAAUAAUUUGAGUGUUCUGUGUGUUAUGUUUACUUUUUGUUCACCAGAUUGUUAAAAUUGAAGGGUUAAUCUAAUUUAUUGAUUAUUUAUC
rnacentral:lncRNA from 1 species